AUUGAACGCUGGCGGCAUGCCUUACACAUGCAAGUCGAACGGCAGCACGGGUGCUUGCACCUGGUGGCGAGUGGCGAACGGGUGAGUAAUACAUCGGAACAUGUCCUGUAGUGGGGGAUAGCCCGGCGAAAGCCGGAUUAAUACCGCAUACGAUCUACGGAUGAAAGCGGGGGACCUUCGGGCCUCGCGCUAUAGGGUUGGCCGAUGGCUGAUUAGCUAGUUGGUGGGGUAAAGGCCUACCAAGGCGACGAUCAGUAGCUGGUCUGAGAGGACGACCAGCCACACUGGGACUGAGACACGGCCCAGACUCCUACGGGAGGCAGCAGUGGGGAAUUUUGGCCAAUGGGCGAAAGCCUGAUCCAGCAAUGCCGCGUGUGUGAAGAGGGCCUUCGGGUUGUAAAGCACUUUUGUCCGGAAAGAAAUCCUUGGCCCUAAUACGGUCGGGGGAUGACGGUACCGGAAGAAUAAGCACCGGCUAACUACGUG
rnacentral:rRNA from 1 species